UUCGCGUGGGCUUCUCAGCAGCAGCCACUGACGAGGACCCUGAGGGGAACGGGAGGCCGUUGGGCGUGCGGACAGGCCUAGGCCUAGGCUGAGGCGCCUGCGCGCCCCUCCGAGCGGCGGGGGGCGCUGGGGGCCGGUCGGAGGCGAGCACUCCGGGCGGAGACAGGGCGAGGUGCGUCGGGCGCCACGUCGGCAAGCGUUAAAGCGGCGGCGGCGGCAGCACCAGUACCACCGAAGGGGCCGAGUUUGCUCCGGGGUUGGGGAGCUGUCGGCCAGACCGACCCGGCUGGGGGGACGAAUCCCGCGGAGAUUUCUACAUAGGAAAUUGAAGUGGAAUUUUCGGAUUCAGUUAUAGUUGUCUCAUGAGCAAGACCAGAGACAGCUGUGCGUGUUGAAAAUCCAGUAAGUUCACAAUGGACUUAAGCAGUUUUGUGUUGAUUGUAUCGGUCACAUCAGAGAAAAUGGCUUAUUCACAAUCCAGUUAAAGUUUCAAUAAUUUUGAAGCAGAAGUUUUAAUAAUUUUUGAGGAUCCCUCAGUAUGGAUUGGGUUUAGAUGCCAAAUGUCCAACAGUCAUUAUGCUUCUAGGUACGUGUAUGUGUGGGGGAAAGAACAGGGCGGUAAAGAGGGCAGGAGAAUCCAUCCAGAAUGCGGCCGGAGCUUUGGAAGAGUUUGGGACCCCAUUAAGAAUAGACUGAGAGGGGAAGGAGGAUUUGUAUUUUGAAUUUGACUCCCUCUAGACUUUGGCAUAUCACAACUAGAUUUUGAAAGUGAACUUAUUACAAAACAUUUCUUCUUAAUUACAAAACAUUUCUUC